UGGGGAAUUUUGGACAAUGGGCGAAAGCCUGAUCCAGCAAUGCCGCGUGUGUGAAGAAGGCCUUCGGGUUGUAAAGCACUUUUGUCCGGAAAGAAAUGGCUCUGGUUAAUACCUGGGGUCGAUGACGGUACCGGAAGAAUAAGGACCGGCUAACUACGUGCCAGCAGCCGCGGUAAUACGUAGGGUCCAAGCGUUAAUCGGAAUUACUGGGCGUAAAGCGUGCGCAGGCGGUUGUGCAAGACCGAUGUGAAAUCCCCGAGCUUAACUUGGGAAUUGCAUUGGUGACUGCACGGCUAGAGUGUGUCAGAGGGGGGUAGAAUUCCACGUGUAGCAGUGAAAUGCGUAGAGAUGUGGAGGAAUACCGAUGGCGAAGGCAGCCCCCUGGGAUAACACUGACGCUCAUGCACGAAAGCGUGGGGAGCAAACAGGAUUAGAUACCCUGGUAGUCCACGCCCUAAACGAUGUCAACUAGUUGUUGGGGAUUCAUUUCCUUAGUAACGUAGCUAACGCGUGAAGUUGACCGCCUGGGGAGUACGGUCGCAAGAUUAAAAAGCUCAAAAUGAA
rnacentral:rRNA from 1 species